UACCUACGGGUGGCUGCAGUGGGGAAUAUUGGACAAUGGGCGAAAGCCUGAUCCAGCAAUGCCGCGUGAGUGAUGAAGGCCUUAGGGUUGUAAAGCUCUUUUACCAGGGAUGAUAAUGACAGUACCUGGAGAAUAAGCUCCGGCUAACUCCGUGCCAGCAGCCGCGGUAAUACGGAGGGAGCUAGCGUUGUUCGGAAUUACUGGGCGUAAAGCGCGCGUAGGCGGCCUAGCAAGUCAGGGGUGAAAUCCCGGGGCUCAACCCCGGAACUGCCUUUGAAACUGCUAAGCUAGAAUCCUGGAGAGGCGAGUGGAAUUCCGAGUGUAGAGGUGAAAUUCGUAGAUAUUCGGAAGAACACCAGUGGCGAAGGCGACUCGCUGGACAGGUAUUGACGCUGAGGUGCGAAAGCGUGGGGAGCAAACAGGAUUAGAUACCCCGGUAGUC
rnacentral:rRNA from 1 species